ACUUUUUACACCAGCAAAUGUCCCCGGGGAAAGCACAUCCACAUGAUUUGAGGCAAAGCUAGCAAUACUAAUCUAUUUUCAAAUGAACAUGUUCUUUGGAGAAGUGUGUUUAAGAUUGGGUAGACAUAUAAAAGAAAGAAGUUGAGUCGUGGAGGGAGGAAAGAAAGAGAAAAGAAAGGACCAUCCACUCACCCAGGCAACUCCCACCCCCAGUCUCUGAAGUCUUUGAAGGUAAAAGUUAGUGAUAGUUUAUGCAUAAAAUGUCCAGAUUCUUCUUCUGUUCCCUAAAUCUGCUUCUACCACCGUGUAUCUGUCUCUGGGCCUUUCUCUUCCUGGAGAGAUGGGAUGUUACCUUUGAAUCUUUUCCUUGUAGCUUUUCUCCUGCAUUCCUUCCAGGGAUCCCCCAACCCAAACUGCAAUAGAGGGGAAAUAGAGGACUGGGGCUAUUCUGGAGAAACUGUUUUUUUUUUUUUUUCUCUAGCAACUAAGAUACAUUAUUUUAAUUGCUGUUGUAAAGUUCUUGUAAGGAAUUCUAAGUUACCCUCCUACUUUGACAGAUGAAGCCUUCUGGGAAGUUGGCAGUCCUGGGAGCCCAGGGCAAUGCUGAAAUGCCCUUCCAAACAAGGACCCAAACAGCUGAAGGGCUCCAGUUACCCAAGAGGUGAGUGACAUGGACACUUCUUUGGCCAGUUGGAGAAGGGGAAGGAGUGGGGUGAGGGAGGUGGAGAAGGGAAGGACAGAGGAGAAAGGACAGGAUGGAGACGUGACAGGAGGGUUGAGGAGUGAUGAGCCAGCAGCCUGAUGACAGGGAGUGGAACUGUCUCUGACCAUACCCUGCUGUACUCUGGGGAGCCUGGGUGGCUCCCUACUUUGAACCUCAGAACGAUAUACCCACCAAAAUUUGUCCACCUCUGAUGAAAAGUGACUGUUGUCAAUGAAGAUAGCCACUUGUGUACUAAAGUGGAGUUUGUCCUACAUUUUUGAUUUGGGACUUAAAUAUUAUUAAGUUUAUGAAUCAAAAAAAAUUCAUGCCCAUUUUAAUUUUAUCUUGUUUUUGCUCAUCUGAAAUUUGUGUAUUUUUCUAAAAUGACUAUGGAUUGACUUGGCAAUAACAAAAAUAAAUAAUUUUGAUCACAAAAAAAUUGAAUCAGCUUAAAAAAUUGCGAAAACAAUUUUUAAAAUAUUUAUAGAGUAUAUUAUAGAAGACCGAAUACCUGAUUGUUAACCUUGGAUAAUUUAAAAGGUUGGGGAUGGAAUUAGAAAGACAGACAGACAGACGGAAGAUUACCAACUUCUUUAACUAUCUCUUUAUUGCUUGACUUGUUAAAAUGAUUGUUUAUUAUUUUUGUCAUUCUUAAAGUAAAUUUAAGAAAGAAUUAAAAAGUAAAUCAUCAUCUUCUACCAUUUGUUUUUUAAAAGCAAAGCUACUUAUUAAGUGAAACGCUUUUUUAAAUUUAUUUUUUAAAUACACGACAACAGUGGAGUGCAUUACCAUCCUUAUUACACAUACAGCACAAUUUUUCAUAUCUCUGUAUGAAGUAUGUUCACACCAAAUUAUGCCAUUAUACAUGUACUCUUUUUUUUGCAUUACAACUCUUUUUUUAUAUUUAUUUUUUUAGUUGUAUUUGGACACAAUACCUUUAUUUCAUUUAUUUAUUUUUAUGUGGUGCUGAGGAUCGAACCCAGGGUCUCACACAUACGAGGCAAGCGCUCUACCGCUGAGCCACAACCCCAGCCCCAUUACAACUCUUAAUGCACAUAUAUACCACAAUUUUUCAUAUCUAUGUUUGUAUAUAAGGCAUGUUGACACCAAAUUCAAAUAAGUGAAACACUUUUAACUCACUAUUUUUUAACUGUAUACAUUUUUUAAGUUGAGGUUUAUUUCUUCAGCAGAUCUUCUCUGCCAAUUUUAUGUGUGUCACCUUAUAUGACAGAAGGUGAUUUGGGGGUUUGUUCCCCAGAAUGAAAAACAUAGGCCUUUCUGUCACAAAUGACUAUUUCUACCCAAUAAAUUUAUAAACACACAUCUUAUGUAGAACUUUAAUAGCUUAAAUAAUUUGUUUGUCAACUAUGAAUUCUUAAGCUGACAGAAAAGUUUUGGAAAACAACUUUUUAAAAAAAUUUUGAGUUCCUUCAGCUGUUUAAAAAUUAUUGCAAAUAAUUGCCUUUAUCCUAGUGGUAACAGUUAUCCUGAAGUUGGUGAGUAUCUUCCUGGUCCAGUAUUUUAUAGUUUUCCAAUUAACUCUUAUCUUUUUUGAGAUACACAUAGCUCUAAUUCCUUUGUUUUCAUUGCUGCAUAGCAUUCCAUUAUUUAAGACAAUUCUAAUUUUUCUCUAUUGUGAAAGUUGUUGCUGCAUUGGACAUCCAAAUUCAUGUCUUUUUGUGCACUUGAAUAAGAAUCCAUCCAAAGGAUUUUCCUAGGUGUGGGAUUACUGAGUCCACUGGAAAACCUCUUAAAAAUAGAAUGAAAGAGAAAGAGAGAAAUGGACAAAGUCUUAGGUUUUGUCCCAGAAUUCCAGGUCAUCUCUCUUUACUGAAUGAUGGGUUCUCCAAUUCCUUUUAAUACUUUUUUUUUCAAUCCCAAAUUUGAAAAAUUGGAAACCUCUUCAUCAAAACCCUGAUUAUUAAGAUUUGUUGGUCAAAAAUCUAAAAACUGACUCAUCCUGAAGCCGAACUGAUGGGGAUACUGGUAAAUAAGUCAUUUUUCCCCCUCUCCUUUCAGAAUAUCACACAUCAACUUAGAACAUAUUAAACAAGAUGGCAAGAUUAAUGAGCUUAUUCAAAAAAGAAAAUAAGUCUUGGUAAGUAGAAUGAUAAAUUAAAAAUCCUGAAUCUUUAUGAACCCAAAAGGCUCAAAGAUGGCAUCUAAUCUAAGCUGCAUCUCUGGGAUAUUACUUUAUGAGCAUGCUGUCAUCAUAUUUUUUCUUCCUUCUAAAUCAAUUUCAGCAUGUCUGCAUCAGCAGACUUCAGAUGAUGUAUUGGCAGCUUCAUUUUAAUCGUUUGUUGCUACAGGGUGACCUGUGGCCUUUCCAAAAGAGGUAAAAUGAAUCUUCCCAUUGUUAACUCCUCCUACCUCAUCAUCAACCCAUAUUCAUUUGAAUGCCACCAAGGACUGACAGACUCCAGGAGGGUCAGUUGCUGCCCAGUACCUGUGGUCACCUAUAGUUUCUUCAGCCCCUUCUGUGGGGAACUCCUGGUAAAAGUCUACAACCUGCCUAGACCUUCCAAGGCUUCCCAGUGCUCCCAAUACUGCAGUCCCCCACCCCCAUGUCCCAAAAUGUUAUUUAUGUAUGCGUAAGCUGUGACAUGCAACCAAAUUUAGAUGGCCUCCUGCUCAGUCCAUUGCAUUUUAAUAGUUAUUAAUUUUACAGUGUGUUUUGCAGCUUUUACUGCCAGUGAUAUUGCUUAAAUACUAUUAAGUUAAAAAAAUCAUUCUUUUAAAAAAUUAGUAUGUAGAGGUGCAUAUGGCUAUGGUAAAUACGACAAUCAAAGACAAUAACUGGAUUUAGGAGAAAUUGCCUAAAACAAAUUGUGGUCUGUCUUAGAGUGCUAUAAAUCCCUGAAUUUAUGUGAGUGUUACACAUAGGAAAUGUUACUUGAAACACAUUCUUUCUGCUCUCAGUUCACCUACCUAGAAAGUCCAAUGGUUAAACCAGAUCAAGGAUUUUCAGCCCUGUUUUCAUUUUUGAAUCACCAAGACAGGCAUAAAAAAUAGUGAUACCUGGGAUCUUCUCUCAAUUAAUUCACUAAACUAAUUCUGAAGUUAUAAGAUAAUUGAUCUUCUGAUUUCAUGAAUAGACUAUAAAUACAGAGUAAAUACAGAUCCUGUAAUGAUGGAGGAGGCUCCUUGUUCUUUUUAGAAGCAACUGUAACAACUGUGAUUUUCACCCACUUUCCAGUCCUGAGUCAACACAGGCCUGGAAGCUCCCUCCACUCUGUUUGGGUUGUACCAGUUCCUACCACAGUGCUUGAUAUACAGUAGAUGCUCAAUGAAUACUGGAUGAAAGGAUGACAGAGUGAAGUUCCACAACCUGGUUUUAAGCAGAGCAUCUAAGAUUAAUCAAGUUGUCAGAAAUUGGGCCAUAGUAGAACUCUUCAGGGUCCAAGAAGUAGAGCCAAUCUAUUCCAGAGUAUUCUCUCCCUGGUAAAUAAGACCUGAAUAUCAUUUGGUGCAUUACUCAGCUUUCUGUUACUGUAACGAAUACCCAAGAUAAUCAACUUAUUUAGGCUCACAGUUUUGGAGCUUUUAGUCUGUGGUAGGGAAGAUCCAUUGCUUUAGGCCUCUGGCAGUGGGGAGGGGGCAGCAUGUCAUGGCGGGAGUGUAUGGCAAAGCAAAACUGCUCACCUCAUGGCCAAGAUGGGAAAGAGAGUAGAAGAAGAAGGUAUAGGAGUCCCACUGUCCCCUUCAAGAUCACACCCCCAGUAUGGAAGACCUCCCCCUAGGCCUCACCACAUAAAGCUUCCACUACCUCCUAACAGCAGCACAGGCUGGAGAAGAGCCUUGGGUGGUCAUUUCACAUCCAAACCUAGCACUCUUUGAGCAUAGGACAAAUGUUGGAUGUUCUAUUUCCAUCCAACUCUGAAGGCUUGACUUCCUUUAAGACCAUUUUUAUGUAAAGGGUCAGGGUCAUUCAUCCAGAAUGCCUGUUAGGCCUCCUGGCAACACACUGAUAGAUUUUCAUUUUCCAACAUUCCCUUUCCAAAUAUUCAUGCGACCACCACCCUGUCGUUUACUCUCCUGGUUACCACAACAAACGGUUUCCUAAGUGUUAGAUUGUUUUGCUGCUUGCUAAUGACAUACCAGGGAGAAGCACAUUAAUCUCCUCAGUAAGGUCACUCCAAAUCACUCUGCAAGAUGGGUUACUUCUGGAAAGCUGUCCCCUAAACAGCUAAUCCCAUCUUUCUUACAGGCUUGACUUACGGAGAUGGCAUCUGCUGACCUUAUGUUUUUGAGAGCCAUCUUAUUUUGAGGACUGCUGUGUUCUGCUCACCAUCUACAAUUACUAUGACUAAAAAUACUUUGGAGGGUAGAGAGUCUUCAAGGGGACUUUGAGACCUGGACUGUGUUCCUCCUAUUUUGAUGUCAUAUUUCAAAGUAAUGGCCCUGUUCCUGUGUUAAACUGCUGAUUACCUGCCAGACCGACAUUGUACUUCACAUUUGAUUGGAAAUCAGUCUUUAUGCUGAACCUUGUGAUUAUGUUGCCCUUUUCCCCAAAAUGUGGCCAAUAGUGAUUUUCCUGAUAACACCAUCACCUCUUAGCCACAUUCUCUGUGCAUCAUGCCAAGGCUACAUUGUCCCCAUGGAAAUGUAAGCCUCUACCCCUGUGUGAUAGGCAUAAUCCCAUUAAAUGACAUCUCUGUCUCCCAUCCCCAAUAGUAUAAAUUAGAGUGUCCACACAAACCUAGAUCACGGAGAUCAUUAUGCUAAAUGAAAUAAGACAGGCGCAGAAAGACGAUUACUGCCUGAUUGCACUUACAUGUGGAAUCUAAAAAUGUUGAUCUCACAGGAGCUGAGAAUACAAUGGUGGUUACCAGAGGCUGAGGAGAGCAGUGGGAAGGCAAGAAGGGGAAAAAGUUGAUCCACGGGUACUAAGUCACAGACAAGAGCAAGACAUUCUGGUGUGCUAUUUCAUAGUAGAAUGAUCCUAGAUAACGAUUCUGUACUCAAAAAGCUACAAGAAAGGAUUGUGAAUGAUCUUACCAUGCAAAAUGAUAGAUGACUGAGAAGAUAAACAUGUUUAACCUGAUUUAAGCAUCACUAAUGUACACAUAUAUUGAAACAUCAUGUGGUACCCCACUAAUAUGUAUGAUUUUUG
rnacentral:lncRNA from 1 species